rnacentral:rRNA from 1 species
UACGAAGGGGGCUAGCGUUGCUCGGAAUCACUGGGCGUAAAGCGCACGUAGGCGGAUUGUUAAGUCAGGGUGAAAUCCUGGAGCUCAACUCCAGAACUGCCUUUGAUACUGGCGAUCUCGAGUCCGGGAGAGGUGAGUGGAACUGCGAGUGUAGAGGUGAAAUUCGUAGAUAUUCGCAGGAACACCAGUGGCGAAGGCGGCUCACUGGCCCGGUACUGACGCUGA